GAAAUAGGAAACCAAAGUUCACAGAAAGUGUAUCUUAGACUCUUUUUAUUACACAUAGAAAUAAACAUCAUUUAAUCAAAUAUCAUCACAAAAUAAAGAAUAAAAUUUUGGGUAAAUUUCAAUUUGCCUCUUUGUGGUGUAGCGCAUUUUCACUUUCUCUUCUCGUGAUUCAAAAAACUAAGCUUAAUUAUUAUAUGAUUUAGCUUUUAUUUCAACACAAAACUAUCAUCAAAUAGAACAGCAAAGUAAAUUUUUUAAAAAAAACCACAAAGCGAAACUCUGUUUAACAAUAUAGAUCCUUACAGUGAAAUAAAAAUAAAGAUAUAGAUUUAUUAAGUGUAGCUUUUUUAACUACGGGAUGACCAAAUAAUUAAUUGUAACUUUUUAAACCAUCAUUUAAAUUUAACAUUCUCAUAUUAUAUAAAUUACCAUUCAACAUUAAAAA
rnacentral:lncRNA from 1 species